rnacentral:rRNA from 1 species
UACGUAGGGGGCAAGCGUUGUCCGGAUUUAUUGGGCGUAAAGCGCUCGCAGGUGGUCCGAUGCGUCGUGCGUGAAAGCCCCCGGCUCAACUGGGGAGUGUCGUGCGAUACGGUCGGACUGGAGGCCAGUAGGGGGAUGCGGAAUUCCGGGUGUAGUGGUGGAAUGCGUAGAGAUCCGGAGGAACACCAGCGGCGAAGGCGGCAUCCUGGACUGGUCCUGACACUCAUGAACGAAAGCGUG